GGUGUUUACACUGGGGCGCGAGAAGGAAGAACCUGCAUGCGCACAAACGGUAAAAAGCAGCUCUCGCGCCCAGCAACAAAGUAACAUUGCGGUUGACGCUGUGGAGGAUCGCGGGCACAAACGGUAAAAAGCAGCUCUCGCGCCCAGCAACAAAGUAACAUUGCGGUUGACGCUGUGGAGGAUCGCGGGCACAAACGGUAAAAAGCAGCUCUCGCGCCCAGCAACAAAGUAACAUUGCGGUUGACGCUGUGGAGGACCGCGCGCACAAACGGGUAUUGUCUAAAAUUUUUUGGAGUGCCGGUUUGGUAUUCAUGAAGUUCCUGAGGAAGUACCCACUACUUCUUAUGACACAGGUAUCCCACCAGCCUUACCCUGGAAGGUGCUUAGGAGAACGGUCCGAACACCGUGUUUCAACUACACCUGAUUUUCUACAAUGAGCUUGCAUUACUUCCACAACAGCAGAAUAGGAGGGGGCAGUGAACCCAUGACCUAUCACUUCAAUGGCUGGACAUGAGCAAGGAGCUGGGUCCGGACACGGCUGCCUACUGCUGCCCCGCGUGCUAGGGUGACGAGAGCUGGAGCUACAAACAUCUGGUCUGCAGCUGGGCCAAGUCCCAGAGCCUGUCGGCCUCGCCCACCCUGGGCAGCACCAAGGAGUUCAGGAGAACGCGCUUUCUCCAUGGACCAUGCCCAGUGAUCACAUUUGGACCAAAGGCCUGCGUGCUGCCGAACCCCCAGACCAUCAUGCACAUUCAGGACCCUGCAAGCCAGGGGUUGACGUGGAACAAGUCCCCAAAGAGUGUGCUUGUCAUCAAGAAGAUCCGAGAUGCCAGCUUGCUUCAGCCUUUCAAGGAGCUCUGCAUAUACCUCAUGGAGGAGAACGGCAUGAUCCUGUACGUGGAGAAGAAGGGGCUGGAGGACCCUGCCAUUGCACGUGACGACAACUUCGGACCAGUGAAGAAGAGGUUCUGCACCUUCUGGGAAGAUUGUGACGACAUUUCCAACCAAAUAGACUUCAUCAUAUGCCUGGGAGGUGACGGGACCCUGCUGUACGCCUCCUCACUGUUCCAGGGCAGUGUGCCUCCUGUCAUGGCCUUCCACCUGGGCUCCCUGGGCUUCCUGACCCCGUUCACCCUCAAGAGCUUCUAGUUGCAGCUGACCCAGGUGAUUGAAGGGAACGCUGCUGUGGUGCUCCGGAGCCGGCUGAAGGUCAGGGUGGUGAAGGAGCCCUGCAGCAAGAAGAUGGCCAAGCACAACGGGCUCAGCGAGAACGGGCUGCCGGGCCCCCCCCCUCGAGGGCGGGAAGCAGGCCCUGCAGUACCAGGUCCUGAACGAGGUCGUGAUCGACAGGGGCCCUUCCUAGUACCUGUCCAACGUGGACGUCUACCUGGACUGACACCUCAUCACCACGAUGCAGGGCGAUGGAGUGAUCGUGUCCACCCCAACGGGCAGCAUGGCGUACGCGGCUGCAGCCGGUGCCUCCAUGAUCCACCCCAACGUGCCAGCCAUCAUGAUCACACCCAUCUGCCCCCACUCGCUGACCUUCCAGCCCAUCGUGGUCCCCGCGGGGGUGGAGCUGAAGAUCACGCUGUCACCAGAAGCCAGGAACACUGCGUGGGUGUCCUUGGACGGACGGAAGCGGCAGGAGAUACGCCACGGAGACAGCAUCACCAUCGCCACCUCCUGCUACCCGCUCCCCUCCAUCUGCAUCAGCGACCCUGUGAAUGACUGGUUUGAGAGCCUGGCGC
rnacentral:lncRNA from 1 species